ACCUGCACCACAUCAGACUCUUCAUGCCUUCUUGGGUCUUAUCACAUACUGCAGGUCCUGGAUACCCGAAGCAUCAAAGCUCAUGCAGCCACUCUAUGAUGCCCUCAGGAGUGAGCCCUUUCACCUCACUGAAGAAACUAUCAUCUGUUUCCACAAUCUGAAAAGAGCUAUUGCUUCUGCACCUGCCUUGGGCCUACCCAACUACCAACUUCCUUUCAAUCUGUUUGUCUCUGAAAAAUCAGGACAUGCUUCCGGAGUCCUCACCCAGAAACAUGGAUCAAGACAACGACCUAUUGGCUAUUUUUCCUGCAUGCUUGACCCUGUUGCGAGAGGUAGUCCCUUUUGCCUCAGAGCGGUGUUUGCUGCCAGCGCCCUCCUGGACAAGACCAAUGAUUUUGUUCUUGGCCACCACCUCACAGUGUUGGCCCCUCAUGACAUUACUGCAAUCCUGCAACAAACUCAACCUAAGCACCUUUCUUCUCAAUGUUACCUUCGUCUACAAACAUCCUUACUGUUACUGACAAUGUGAAACUUCAGCGAUGUCUCUCCCUGAACCCGGCCACUCUUCUGCCACUUCCCAAGGGGGGAAUUGUGCAUUACUGGUAUAGCCUGGACAUCAACCCAGAGGUUUGAGCAGAUUUGCAGCUGCCUGCACUUGCACCCCCACAUAAUGAACAAUCAGAGGCCCUACUUCACUGCACCUUAUGGUUUAAAGACAGACCAGGCCCUGAUAUGAACUAUGAGGAAGAAUUAUUCCAGCUCAAGGAAAUUCCAAUUACCCUGACUGACUUGUUAUGGGACCCCACAGGUACCAUGCUCAUCUUAGUCCAUCUUCCAGAGAACAUGACACAUCUCUACCAUCAUUGGGAAACAGCUAUCCCACACAUAUCUCUCACCAGAUCCUCUGACACCUCAUGGAAAGACCUAGGCCCGAUGGCCAAACCUGGAGUCAAAUGAACCAAGAACAACUGACUUCUAUGGGGACCAGCAAAAAGACUAUUAACUACUGUACAGCAGGGUACCCUAGGUACCACACAGACGUCUGUGAGGACCCACUCAUCAUAGACUGUGACCCUGAUAUUUCCCCACUUAGCUGAUCAGGCCGCUAAGGAAGCAGCACAACAAGGAUGGGAAGUGGACAGAAGAGUGGCCACAGACGCAGUGCCCAUCUACACCAUGCAGACACUGCCUACGGAUCUUAGGCUUCU